UCGGGAAUAUUGCGCAAUGGAGGAAACUCUGACGCAGUGACGCCGCGUGCAGGAAGAAGGUUUUCGGAUUGUAAACUGCUUUAGACAGGGAAGAAUAAAGACAGUACCUGUAGAAAAAGCAUCGGCUAACUCCGUGCCAGCAGCCGCGGUAAUACGGAGGAUGCGAGCGUUAUCCGGAUUUAUUGGGUUUAAAGGGUGCGCAGGCGGCGCGCCAAGUCAGCGGUCAAAGUUCCGGGCUCAACCCGGUGUCGCCGUCGAAACUGGCGUGCUCGAGUGCGUGCGAGGAAGGCGGAAUGCGUUGUGUAGCGGUGAAAUGCAUAGAUAUGACGCAGAACUCCGAUUGCGAAGGCAGCUUUCCAGCGCGCUACUGACGCUGAGGCGCGA
rnacentral:rRNA from 1 species